rnacentral:rRNA from 1 species
CACGUAGGGCGCAAGCGUUGUCCGGAAUUAUUGGGCGUAAAGAGCUCGUAGGCGGUGUGUCGCGUCGGCCGUGAAAACCUGCAGCUUAACUGUGGGCUUGCGGUCGAUACGGGCAUCACUGGAGUUCGGCAGGGGAGACUGGAAUUCCUGGUGUAGCGGUGAAAUGCGCAGAUAUCAGGAGGAACACCGGUGGCGAAGGCGGGUCUCUGGGCCUGACCUGACGCUGAGGAGCGAAAGCGUGGGGAGCGAACAGG